rnacentral:rRNA from 1 species
AUUGAACGCUGGCGGCAGGCCUAACACAUGCAAGUCGAACGAGUGGCGGACGGGUGAGUAAUGUCUGGGAAACUGACUGAUGGAGGGGGAUAACUACUGGAAACGGUAGCUAAUACCGCAUACCAUCGGAUGUGCCCAAAUGGGAUUAGCUAGUAGGUGGGGUAAAGGCUCACCUAGGCGACGAUCCCUAGCUGGUCUGAGGGGAUGACCAGCCACACUGGAACUGAGACACGGUCCAGCCUCCUACGGGAUGCAGCAGUGGGGAAGAUUGCACAAUGGGCGCAAGCCUGAUGCAGCCAUGCCGCGUGUAUGAAGAAGGCCUUCGGUUUGUAAAGUACUUUCAGCGGGGAGGCGUUACCCGCAGAAGAAGCACCGGCUAACUCCGUGCCAGCAGCCGCGGUAAUAC